CGACCACGAUCAGACGCGCUCAAAAACGACGUCGCGAAAAAGCAUUUCGAAUUCUUAACCAACACUUGACAAAAUAACGAGUACUUUCGAAAACGUUCAAACAAUUUUGAAAUACUUAUAAAUAGUUUUGAAAUAUCUCAAGCUCCGGUAUAUGCGUAUAAAUGAAAAAGCGAUCACUUCUUAGCGAAAUAAUAUAAUGACAAAUUGCUCAGUUUGGCGAAACACGAUUCGUUGAAAGUGCAAGGAUAAUGCAAUAUUGAUUGCUGGCGCAAGUAAAAAGUGAUUUGAAAAAGCAAACGCUGCUGCCACAGCUACUACAACUACAACUACGCAUCUCAACAACUUUAACUUCACAACAACUAUCGCUUCCUGUGCUCAUCUUCUAUCGCUUUACAACUAUUUCCAAUACAAAAACAAUUGCAAACAAUAUUUUAUCAGUUGCAAAGUCAAAAACAAACGAAAUCGAAGAAGAACUGCAUUUUUUGCCAUUUCCAUUCUGUCCAAUUUCUGCCUUUUUCGCCAUUUCUUCACACUCUUUUACACACCUGUUGCGCCUCCACGAAGCGGAGACGACGACGACGCUUGGUCUGCAUGCCUUGUGUUGUUGCAUGUGGCAAGUAUUUAGACUCAAGCCGCCAAGUAGCAAAUUGAGAAAUAAAUAAAGAUAAAAAAAAGACUGAGCGGGAAAAAUCGCAAACGAAAAACUUGCAC